AGUACAUACUUUAUAGGGUUAGUGGAAGUAAUAAAUGAGCUAUAUGUAAAACACUUGGUGAAUGGCUGGUAAAGAAUACUUAUUCAAUAAAUAUUGACUAUCAUCAUCAUCAUUUUUAUUCCAGAUGCUUUUGCCAUUAUUUUCUGGUGGUGGAGGUUGUGGGCAGCUGAGUUUGUUAGUUUGGCUAUCUCUGCCUUUCUGUGUGCUUUCACAAACAUCCCUAGUUCUUGGUGCUGGGAGAAGACAUUAUAAUGGAAAUUGACAAUUCAUAGUAAUUACCACAUUAGUGCCAAUUCAGUCACACUAAUAAGCUGCUGACAGGUGAUGAACAUUACCCUUUAACAAUGAGUCACCUCACUAGUGUUUUAUGACAGUUACUGCAACAAAACAGAAUUUCGAGUACUUAAAUGAGUAAUGUGUUCCAUGAAAAUGUAAAAGAAAAAAAAUUAACAACUCUUGGAUCACAGUAUUAUGUGGUAUUUAUCUCUCAUUUAGGAUUAGGAGACCAGAAACGAAGCCAUGUCCCUUUCACUACUGCUGGUAAUGACAUACAUUCCAAAUGUAUAUCUUAAACCACUUAUUUAUCACAAGGCACACAGAAAUGUUCCAUUAUAUACAUAUUUAUAAGUAUUAUAUGUUACAGGAGGUAUCAGGCUUGUUGAAUAUUUACUAAUGAAAGGAUUUUUUUUCUAAGAUAAAAUCCAGACAAAGGGGAAUGAGAGGUCAAUUGUAGUUUAAAGACAAAAUUGAAAUAGCCUAUCAACUUUUCGAAAAAAAAAAUCAGGCUCUUUUGGAGGAAUCUUUGCUUAUUGUCAAUGACAGUGUCAACAAAACUAUCUAGUUGGGCUCAUUAAAGGAAGUCUCGAAGCCCAUUUUUGCCAUUGUCUAUAUAUAAGCCACUUGGCUUAGUCAGUAGCUAAAUAAUAAUUAUUAUUGUCAGAUAAACCAGGACAAAAGGGAAUAAUAAAGCUAGUAAGCAGUUAUUUGGAAACUUGACUAUUCAAAGGAAGAGAAAGCAGAAUAAAAAACAAUUUUGCUCCUUGUGCCAAGAGAUAUUUUUGUAAUUUGGGCUGGAAAGGUUGGAACCAUCUUAGAAUGUGAAUUACCACAGAGCAAGGCAUCCUACUUCCAAGAGGAAAUGGUGCGUUUGCUUCAAUUUUGCUAGCGUAGGUGGCUUUGGCCAGUUUGGGAGGUGAUGGUUGUAGAGAGAGAAAGGGGGAGAGGGAGAGACAGGAAGAGUUACAAAGCACACUAGCCUGUUGUCUUAUCUGUAAAAACUGACACCUCAAAUUCAGAUUACAGUUCUACUGUUUGCUAUCAGGACUUUUGAAGCACUCUCUGUGCUUCAAUGUAUAAAAUGAUGAAUUAUGAGAAUUAAAUGAGUGAAUACUAGUAAAUUGCUAAGGAAAGUGCCUGGAACAUAGACAAGCUAUUAUUAUUUUUUUAUUUUUAUCAUCAUCAUUACUAUUAAUUGCUUGAGCAUAGAGUGGCAGACUUUCAGGUGAAUGUCUGUUCUUUUCUAUGUCAUUUGCUAAAGUACAUUUUCCUCCUAUUCCUUUGCUCUCUUUUCUUCCUGUGAGCAGCACCUCUUUAGCUAAAACUAGGACUGAUUAACCAGAGUGGAUUCCAUUUUUUCCAGAGUUAUUGAUGUUAAUUCUUAUUGAACAUGGAAAAUCUGAAGCUGUUUAAAAGUGGAAACAUUGGCUCAAGCAAAAGGCUGGAAAGGUAUGUUUCAGAAGCUGAAUAAUAUCUGGCAGCACUGAUGGCAGAGGAGUCCCUGAAGCCCUGGACAGGUAUCACUACAGAGGCCUCGGGGAACAAUUCUUCUCAGAGUAAGAUGAGAAAAAAAAGUCUUGCCCCACCUUUGAGCAUAUGGAAUUUACUGUUAGAGCUCUUGGAAGGAUUUUGUGGUGAUUUAGAGACAUUAGACAUUCGAAUAUUCCAGUUUUAUAAUUACAUUUGCACCUAAAUUGGAUUUCUAUUCGUGUAAAAAAAA